rnacentral:tRNA from 1 species
GGGGUUGUGGCUCAGCGGUAGAGUGCUUGCCUCGCAUGUGUGAGGCACUGAGUUCAAGCCUCAGCACCACA